rnacentral:rRNA from 1 species
CGGGUGAGUAACACGUGAGCAACCUGCCCUAGGCUUUGGGAUAACCCUCGGAAACGGGGGCUAAUACCGAAUAUGACCUGACAUCGCAUGGUGUUUGGUGGAAAGUUUUUCGGCCUGGGAUGGGCUCGCGGCCUAUCAGCUUGUUGGUGGGGUAAUGGCCUACCAAGGCGACGACGGGUAGCCGGCCUGAGAGGGCGACCGGCCACACUGGGACUGAGACACGGCCCAGACUCCUACGGGAGGCAGCAGUGGGGAAUAUUGCACAAUGGGCGGAAGCCUGAUGCAGCGACGCCGCGUGAGGGAUGACGGCCUUCGGGUUGUAAACCUCUUUCAGCAGGGACGAAGCGUAAGUGACGGUACCUGCAGAAGAAGCACCGGCCAACUACGUGCCAGCAGCCGCGGUAAGACGUAGGGUGCGAGCGUUGUCCGGAUUUAUUGGGCGUAAAGAGCUCGUAGGCGGCUUGUCGCGUCGACUGUGAA